rnacentral:rRNA from 1 species
UGGCUCAGAGCGAACGCUUGCGGCGGGCCUAACACAUGCAAGUCGAGCGCGUACCUUCGGGUACGAGCGGCGGACGGGUCAGUAACACGUAGGUAACCUACCCUUCGGUGGGGGAUAACUGGGGGAAACUCCAGCUAAUACCGCACGAGGUCCACGGAUCAAAGCAGCAAUGCGCCGGGGGAGGGGCCUGCGUCCGAUUAUUUAAUCCUAGUUGGCGGGGUAACGGCCCACCAAGGGUACGAUCGGUAGCUGGUCUGAGAGGAUGAUCAGCGACACUGGAACUGAGACACGGUCCAGACUCCUACGGGAGGCAGCAGUGGGGAAUAUUGCGCAAUGGGCGAAAGCCUGACGCAGCCACGCCGCGUGGGUGAUGAAGGCCUUCGGGUUGUAAAUCCCUGUCGAGGGGGAAGAAGUAUGACGGUACCCCUCAAGAAAGCACCGGCUAACCCUGUGCCAGCAGCCGCGGUAAUACAGGGGGUGCGAGCGUUGCUCGGAAUUACUGGGCGUAAAGCGUACGCAGGCGGACUGUUAGGUCGGGCGUGAAAUCCCGGGGCUCAACCCCGGAACUGCGUUCGAAACCGGCAGUCUU